CGAGGACUAUGUUUGGGAAAUGCUUUAGUAGGGCUCAUAAAUAAAUAUUGGCCACAUUAUGAUCAAACAUAAGUCUCAAGUAAUAAGUUGAGAUUCUGAUGGUCAUCAAAAAGCAAUAAUUAUAGGCAAGUAGUGUAGCAUAACCCUUACUGUGUGAUAAUGCUCAGAAGGGUCAAAGAUACUUGACAAGAUAGGCUACAUUUACAAACAUGUCCACAAGAUGUCAUGCAACUAUCAAGAACAGAAGAAUUGUCAAAUGCAAUAAUAUAUUCUAAAUCUAUCUUCUUCUAAUAUCUUCUCAACUAAGCCUAUAGCCUACGAAAAGUCCUACAUUAAAAAGAGAAACGCACGACCACAAGCAGUCUUAUGUCGAAUACGUAUAUUUGCAUGAAUUGACUUUAUCAAUCUGUCUUCAACAUUAAGUGCAUGAUACAGCCUGCAUCCGGAUGUGACGAGAUUGUUACUGCAUUAUGCUCAGUGGGGAAUAUUUGAAGCCACACAAUAUUGCGGAGGAUUACGGAACCAUGGACAGGAUGUGUUGACAUGGUCGUCUUCAUUGGAUUCAAGCUUCCCUGUCCUGCUCUGG
rnacentral:lncRNA from 1 species